rnacentral:rRNA from 1 species
UACGUAGGGUCCGAGCGUUGUCCGGAAUUAUUGGGCGUAAAGGGCUCGUAGGCGGUUUGUCGCGUCGGGAGUGAAAACUCAGGGCUCAACCCUGAGCGUGCUUCCGAUACGGGCAGACUAGAGGUAUGCAGGGGAGAACGGAAUUCCUGGUGUAGCGGUGGAAUGCGCAGAUAUCAGGAGGAACACCGGUGGCAAAGGCGGUUCUCUGGGCAUGACCUGACGCUGAGGAGCGAAAGCAUGGGGAGCGAACAGG